AGGAUGAACGCUGGCGGCGUGCCUAAUACAUGCAAGUCGAGCGGUAAGGCCUCUUCGGAGGUACACGAGCGGCGGACGGCUGAGUAACACGUAGGAACGUACCCCAAAGUGAGGGAUAAGCACCAGAAAUGGUGUCUAAUACCGCAUGUGCUCUAAGGAGUAAAGCUCCGGCGCUUUGGGAACGGCCUGCGCAUGAUUAGCUUGUUGGUGAGGUAAUGGCUCACCAAGGCGACGAUCAUUAGCUGGUCUGAGAGGAUGACCAGCCAGACUGGAACUGAGAACGGUCCAGACUCCUACGGGAGGCAGCAGUAGGGAAUUUUCCACAAUGGGCGAAAGCCUGAUGGAGCAACGCCGCGUGCAGGAUGAAGGCUCUAGGGUCGUAAACUGCUUUUAUAUGUGACGAUUAUGACGGUAGCAUAUGAAUAAGGAUCGGCUAACUCCGUGCCAGCAGCCGC
rnacentral:rRNA from 1 species